GGCUCGGUGGCGUAGUUGGCCAACGCGUACGAUGUGGGGUCGUAAGACACGGGUUCGAGUCCCCGUCCGAGUUA